AUUGAACGCUGGCGGCAUGCCUUACACAUGCAAGUCGAACGGCAGCACGGGAGCAAUCCUGGUGGCGAGUGGCGAACGGGUGAGUAAUAUAUCGGAACGUGCCCGGUCGUGGGGAUAACGUAGCGAAAGCUACGCUAAUACCGCAUACGAUCUACGGAUGAAAGCGGGGGAUCGCAAGACCUCGCGCGAUUGGAGCGGCCGAUAUCAGAUUAGGUAGUUGGUGAGGUAAAGGCUCACCAAGCCGACGAUCUGUAGCUGGUCUGAGAGGACGACCAGCCACACUGGGACUGAGACACGGCCCAGACUCCUACGGGAGGCAGCAGUGGGGAAUUUUGGGACAAUGGGCGCAAGCCUGAUCCAGCAAUGCCGCGUGCAGGAUGAAGGCCUU
rnacentral:rRNA from 1 species